GACGAACGCUGGCGGCGUGCUUAACACAUGCAAGUCGAACGGAAAGGCCUGCUUUCCCUUGUGGAUUGCGGGUACUCGAGUGGCGAACGGGUGAGUAACACGUGAGUGAUCUGCCCCCAACUUGGGUAUAAGCCUGGGAAACUGGGUCUAAUUCCCGAUAGGACUGCAGGGUGGUGCCUGUGGUGGAAAACGAUUUUCUAGUGGUUGGGGAUGAGCUCGCGGCCUAUCAGCUUGUUGGUGGGGUAAUGGCCUACCAAGGCAGCGACGAGUAGCCGGCCUGAGAGGGUGGACGGCCACAUUGGGACUGAGAUACGGCCCAGACUCCUACGGGAGGCAGCAGUGGGGAAUAUUGCACAAUGGGCGGAAGCCUGAUGCAGCGACGCCGCGUGGGGGAUGACGGCCUUCGGGUUGUAAACUCCUUUCGACCGCGAGGAAGCCACCUGGUUGGAAGGGUGGUGACGGUAGUGGUAGAAGAAGCACCGGCUAACUACGUG
rnacentral:rRNA from 1 species